UACGGAGGGUGCAAGCGUUAAUCGGAAUUACUGGGCGUAAAGCGUGCGCAGGCGGUUUUGUAAGUUUGUCGUGAAAGCCCCGGGCUCAACCUGGGAAUUGCGAUGAAGACUGCAAGGCUUGAAUCUGGCAGAGGGGGGUAGAAUUCCACGUGUAGCAGUGAAAUGCGUAGAGAUGUGGAGGAACACCGAUGGCGAAGGCAGCCCCCUGGGUCUGCACUGACGCUCAUGCACGAAAGCGUGGGGAGCAAACAGG
rnacentral:rRNA from 1 species